rnacentral:rRNA from 1 species
UACGUAGGGUGCGAGCGUUGUCCGGAAUCAUUGGGCGUAAAGAGCGCGUAGGCGGCCCUGUAAGUCCGUUCUGAAAGUCGGAGGCUCGACCUCCGAAAGCGGAUGGAUACUGCAGGGCUAGAGUCCGGAAGAGGCGAGUGGAAUUCCUGGUGUAGCGGUGGAAUGCGCAGAUAUCAGGAGGAACACCAACGGCGAAGGCAGCUCGCUGGGACGGUACUGACGCUGAGGCGCGAAAGCGUGGGGAGCGAACAGG